rnacentral:rRNA from 1 species
GAUGAACGCUGGCGGCGUGCCUAAUACAUGCAAGUCGAGCGAAGCGGGGACGGGUGAGUAACACGUGGAUAACCUCCUAUAAGACUGGGAUAACUUCGGGAAACCGGAGCUAAACCGGCUACUUAUAGAUGGAUCCGCGCUGCAUUAGCUAGUUGGUAAGGUAACGGCUUACAAAGGCAACGAGGCAUAGCCGACCUGAGAGGGUGAUCGGCACCACUGGAACGGAAAACUGGCCCAUACUCCUCCGGGAGUCAGCAUUAGGGAAUCUGCCGCAAUGGGCGAAAGCCUGACGGGGCAACGCCGCGUGAGUGAUGAAGGUCUUCGGUUCUUAAACCUCUGUUAUUAGGGAAGCGGUACCUAAUCAGAAAGCCACGGCUAACUACGUGCCAGCAGCCGCGGUAAUUC